rnacentral:rRNA from 1 species
GUAUACCUACGGGGCGCAGCAGUGAGGAAUAUUGGUCAAUGGCCGGGAGGCUGAACCAGCCACGUCGCGUGAGGGAAUAAGGCCCUACGGGUCGUAAACCUCUUUUGCCGGGGAGCAAGGGCGGGGACGUGUCCCGGCCCGGAGAGUACCCGGAGAAAAAGCAUCGGCUAACUCCGUGCCAGCAGCCGCGGUAAUACGGAGGAUGCGAGCGUUAUCCGGAUUUAUUGGGUUUAAAGGGUGCGUAGGCGGGCUUUUAAGUCAGCGGUAAAAAUUCGGGGCUCAACCCCGUCCGGCCGUUGAAACUG